UACGUAGGGGCAAGCGUUAUCCGGAUUUACUGGGUGUAAAGGGAGCGCAGACGGCAGCGCAAGUCUGAUGUGAAAUCCCGGGGCUCAACCCCGGAACUGCAUUGGAAACUGCGCAGCUCGAGUAUCGGAGAGGUAAGCGGAAUUCCUAGUGUAGCGGUGAAAUGCGUAGAUAUUAGGAGGAACACCGGCGGCGAAGGCGGCUUACUGGACGAAGACUGACGUUGAGGCUCGAAAGCGUGGGGAGCAAACAGGAUUAGAUACCCUGGUAGUCCCU
rnacentral:rRNA from 1 species